CGUGAGUGAUGAAGGCCUUAGGGUUGUAAAGCUCUUUUACCAGGGAUGAUAAUGACAGUACCUGGAGAAUAAGCUCCGGCUAACUCCGUGCCAGCAGCCGCGGUAAUACGGAGGGAGCUAGCGUUGUUCGGAAUUACUGGGCUUAAAGAGUUCGUAGGUGGUUGAAAAAGUUGGUGGUGAAAUCCCAGAGCUUAACUCUGGAACUGCCAUCAAAACUUUUCAGCUAGAGUAUGAUAGAGGAAAGCAGAAUUUCUAGUGUAGAGGUGAAAUUCGUAGAUAUUAGAAAGAAUACCAAUUGCGAAGGCAGCUUUCUGGAUCAUUACUGACACUGAGGAACGAAAGCAUGGGUAGCGAAGAGGAUUAGAUACCCUCGUAGUCCAUGCCGUAAACGAUGUGUGUUAGACGUUGGAAAUUUAUUUUCAGUGUCGCAGCGAAAGCGAUAAACACACCGCCUGGGGAGUACGACCGCAAGGUUAAAACUCAAAUGAAUUGACGGGGACCCGCACAAGUAGUGGAGCAUGUGGUUUAAUUCGAAGAUACGCGCAGAACCUUACCAACACUUGACAUGUUCGUCGCGACUUUAAGAGAUUAAAGUUUUCGGUUCGGCCGGACGAAACACAGGUGCUGCAUGGCUGUCGUCAGCUCGUGUCGUGAGAUGUUGGGUUAAGUCCCGCAACGAGCGCAACCCUCACUUUUAGUUGCCAUCAUUUAGUUGGGCACUCUGAAAGAACUGCCAGUGAUAAGCUGGAGGAAGGUGGGGAUGACGUCAAGUCCUCAUGGCCCUUACGUGUUGGGCUACACACGUGCUACAAUGGUAUCUACAACAGGAAGCAAAACUGCGAGGUUAAGCAAAUCCUUAAAAGAUACCUCAGUUCGGAUUGCACUCUGCAACUCGAGUGCAUGAAGCUGGAAUUACUAGUAAUCGUGGAUCAGCGUGCCACGGUGAAUGCGUUCCCGGGUCUUGUACACACCGCCCGUCACACCAUGGGAGUUGGUUCUACCUUAAGGCAAGGUUUAAAACCCUUGACCACGGUAUAGUCAGCGACUGGGGUGAAGUCGUAACAAGGUAACC
rnacentral:rRNA from 1 species